GGCCUGGUGGAGGAGGUCCCGCAGCUUCUGCACGGCCUCCAUGUCCUCAAUGUAAACAGAGUCUGACAGAAGAUCAGGGAGAACAUGGAAUGUGUUUGGCCCAGCCGAUGAUGACGACCAGCUCACGGUCAGCGAGGUCACACAGGGUGGUGAGUGUGCGCUGGGCUGUAUCGGGCUGCAGAGGGUCAGGCAUGGCAAAUAACUUUUCUGGCUCUGCCACCAGGAGGUGGGACACAAUGAUGUUGGAAGAUCCUAUUUGAUGACAUAGACAAGAAACAAAUGGAUUUUACAGUAUAAUGCACAAAGAAAAUCAGCAGUGAACAUUCAGAGACACACAAAAUAUCAACUCUGUAAAAGGAACUAAUGUAUGUAACUGUGCUGCUCUUAAAUGUAAAAUAUAAAACACUAACACGUUUCCAUAUCCCAUAUUCACAUGUAGACUAUAGAUUGCAAACUCAUGUAUUUUUGACAAACACACAUUCUUAUUUUUAUUAGAAUAUGUUUUUUUAAAUUAAACUUGCUAAACUCAUUAGGCAAAUGUAAGUGAAUAAAGAAGCACAGUUAACAUUAUUUGUAUUGCUGACGGAAAAUGGAAUCACACUGAGACCAUAACUGGCAGUAGAGGGUGCUGUUUACUCAUCAUAUAAUAUAUGUUGAAGGCAAAUUGUGUUUGUUUACUCUAGGCAUCUCUUGUUUGACACAUCCAGAAUAUACUGCAUUUGCUGGAGGAACACUCUGAGCAUCUCGGUUUUAGAAGUUACCAAAUAUAUAUAGCGGUAGUGUUGACUGAUUACACCUUUACGGUUUGGGACAGUGACAUGUGGCACCCACAGUCUGGAUGUUAAUAUCUGCUGUGUAACUGAGCCACACAUGGAUUAUGGUAACAGUAAUGGAGCAUGUUGCAUGUUGUAGGACUAAAAAUCAAGUAAUAUAACAGGAAUAUUAAUCCCACCUUUUUCACUCUCCUUUGUUAGUGGUAGAGGGGCACUCUGGUAUGUUGCAUUCUCCACUUCUGGGCGCCUUUUGUAUUUCUGCCUUCCACCUCUGACCCUAUCAAGACGGACUCCUGGGAAAGGGAAAAAAUCAAUUAAAGUUUGUAGCAGGAAAACACUGAGAAAACAUGCAUGGUAUUUAAAAGAUAAGCACAAAAACUCUUCAGAUAUAAAAUGAACACUCACCCUCUUUUAGCAUGCCUACUUUGAGGCACUUGGUGAAGCGGCAUGCCUGACAGGCCUUUCUGCGCCUUUUGGUGAUCUCACACUCAUUCGAUGCUGGACAGCUGUAUUCAAUGUUUCCUGUUUGGAAGAACAGAAAAGAACAGAAAACAAUUCAAUGUUUCCUGUAUGGAAGAACAGAAAACAUCACCUGUUAGAUAUUAAAAUUUAAUGAAAUAUACAAACAUGAAUGGUCAUUGGCUUUAAAGAUUUAGUCCUAACUUCCUUUCUAGCUUUUCCAAGAUUCCCAGCACACAUACAGCACAAUAGCUUCCAUGUGUUCAUGGUUUUUACAGACCAGUUCAAACCAGAUGGGAUGGUGGUGGAGAUAAUGUACUGAGGCAUGUUUAACAAUAAAAGCAUGAAUACCUGA